AAAUUGAAGAGUUUGAUCAUGGCUCAGAUUGAACGCUGGCGGCAGGCCUAACACAUGCAAGUCGAACGGUAACAGGAAACAGCUUGCUGUUUCGCUGACGAGUGGCGGACGGGUGAGUAAUGUCUGGGAAACUGCCUGAUGGAGGGGGAUAACUACUGGAAACGGUAGCUAAUACCGCAUAACGUCGCAAGACCAAAGAGGGGGACCUUCGGGCCUCUUGCCAUCGGAUGUGCCCAGAUGGGAUUAGCUAGUAGGUGGGGUAACGGCUCACCUAGGCGA
rnacentral:rRNA from 1 species